UGGGCGAUAGUUUAGCGGCAGAACGCUGGGUUCUGGCCCCAGUAGCCCUGGUUCGAAUCCAGGUCGCCCAGCCA
rnacentral:tRNA from 2 species